GGUUAAGCGACUAAGCGUACACGGUGGAUGCCUAGGCAGUCAGAGGCGAUGAAGGGCGUGCUAAUCUGCGAAAAGCGUCGGUAAGGUGAUAUGAACCGUUAUAACCGACGAUACCCGAAUGGGGAAACCCAGUGCAAUUCGUUGCACUAUUGCAUGGUGAAUACAUAGCCA
rnacentral:rRNA from 1 species